UACGUAGGGGGGCAAGCGUUGUCCGGAUUUAUUGGGCGUAAAGAGCGUGUAGGCGGCCAGACAGGUCCGUUGUGAAAACUCGAGGCUCAACCUCGAGACGCCGAUGGAAACCGUCUGGCUAGAGUCCGGAAGAGGAGAGUGGAAUUCCUGGUGAGCGGUGAAAUGCGCAGAUAUCAGGAAGAACACCCGUGGCUAAGGCGGCUCUCUAGUACGGUACUGACGCUGAGACGCGAAAGCGUGGGGAGCGAACAGG
rnacentral:rRNA from 1 species